rnacentral:misc_RNA from 1 species
AACGCACAUUGCGCCCGCUGGAAUUCCAGCGGGCAUGCCUGUUCGAGCGUCAUUUCACCCCUCAAGCCUUGCUUGGUGUUGGAGCACUACCGCUUGUAUAAAGCGGUAGGCUCUGAAAUUCAGUGGCGGGCUCGCUAAGACUCUGAGCGUAGUAGUUUAUCACCUCGCUUUGGAAGGAUUAGCGGUGCUCUUGCCGUAAAACCCCCCAAAUUUCUGAAUUUUGACCUCGGAUCAGGUAGGAAUACCCGCUGAACUUAA